rnacentral:tRNA from 1 species
GGUGAGAUAGCUCAACAGGUUAGAGCACUGCACUCAUAAUGCAGAGGUUGAGGGUUCGACUCCCUCUCUCACUA